UGGGGGAAUUUUGCGCAAUGGGCGAAAGCCUGACGCAGUAACGCCGCGUGGAGGAUGAAGGCCCUCGGGUUGUAAACUCCUGUCAGAGGGAAAGAAGAGAGCUAAUGCUAAUAGCGUUAGUCAUCAGACGGUACCCUCAAAGGAAGCCCCGGCUAAUUCCGUGCCAGCAGCCGCGGUAAUACGGAAGGGGCAAGCGUUGUUCGGAAUCAUUGGGCGUAAAGGGCGCGUAGGCGGUCGCGUAUGUCUGCUGUGAAAGCACAUAGCUUAACUGUGUGAAGUCGGUAGAAACUGCGAGACUUGAGGCUGGGAGAGGUUGGUGGAAUUCCCUGUGUAGCGGUGAAAUGCGUAGAUAUAGGGGAGAACACUCGUGGCGAAGGCGGCCAGCUGGACCAGCCCUGACGCUGAGGCGCGACAGCGUGGGGAGCGAAACAGGAUUAGAUACCCUGGUAGUCCACGCCGUAAACGAUGGGCACUAGGUGUUGGCGGU
rnacentral:rRNA from 1 species